AUUGAACGCUAGCGGGAUGCCUUCCACAUGCAAGUCGAACGGAGUGGCGAACGGGUGAGUAAUGUAUCGGAACGUGCCCAGUAGCGGGGGAUAACUACGCGAAAGCGUAGCUCAUACCGCAUAAUAUUGCAGCGGCCGAUAUCGGAUUAGCUAGUUGGUGGGGUAACGGCUCACCAGGGCGACGAGCCGUAGCUGGUUGGAGAGGACGACCAGCCACACUGGGACUGAGACAAGGCCCAGAAUCCUACGGGAGGCAGCAGUGGGGAAUUUUGGACAAUGGGGGAAACCCUGAUCCAGCCAUCCCGCGUGUGCGAUGAAGGCCUUCGGGUUGUAAAGCACUUUUGGCAGGAAAGCGGUACCUGCAGAAUAAGCACCGGCUAACUACGUGCCAGCAGCCGCGGUAAUUC
rnacentral:rRNA from 1 species